UACGAAGGGGGCUAGCGUUGCUCGGAAUCACUGGGCGUAAAGGGUGCGUAGGCGGGUUUUUAAGUCAGGGGUGAAAUCCUGGAGCUCAACUCCAGAACUGCCUUUGAUACUGAAGAUCUUGAGUCCGGGAGAGGUGAGUGGAACUGCGAGUGUAGAGGUGAAAUUCGUAGAUAUUCGCAAGAACACCAGUGGCAAAGGCGGCUCACUGGCCCGGUACUGACGCUGAGGCACGAAAGCGUGGGGAGCAAACAGG
rnacentral:rRNA from 1 species